CUAUGGACUGGACAAACAACAUUGUCUCGCCUGGAAGCAACAUGGAUCAGGAACCUCGGUUUCAUUCCCCAUAUGAAGUUUCUAUUGAUGAACAUGUUUCUUCUAUUUGUGGAGCAACUUUGGGGAAUGGUUCAUUCUGCAGAAGGCAACCCACUCAAGGAAAUAAGCGGUGUUGGCAGCACAAAGGCAGGAGGGGUGAUGGUAGUUUAUCUGGUAGUUCCAUCUCAAGGUUUGAUACAGUCACAUGUUGGCAGCACGAAGGCAUGUAUCAGGGACUUCAGUUUCAUUCUCCAAAUGAAGUUUCUAUUGAUGAACAUUUUUCUUCUAUUUGUGGAGCAACUUUGGGG
rnacentral:misc_RNA from 1 species